AGCCAGCUCCCGUGUCACAUGGAGGAUGGGAGCUCUGCUUGGCUCAGAAGGAAGAGGGACGUGCGACUUGUAGUCAGAAGGGCUUUCCCGCCAGAGAGCCAGACGGGGCUCUCCCGCCCGGUCUGCUCUGUGUGUCCACACCGGCUCAGGCCCCUCGGAGGACCAGCCACGGGCGGAAGUGGGAGAACCAGCCCUGUCCUCAGGGGCGAUGUCGAGGGGCUCCGGUGGUGCACAUGGCCAGGUCCCCAAAGUAUACUGCGUCUCCACGAUGGCGAAGCUGCCACCGUUCUGGAUGGGACGUCUCUGGAAGCAAACUGCUCUCUGCUGACAUCAUGGCAAUGAAAUCUAACUUUCUUUACGAGCUGUCAGGGAGGUUUUCCCACUGCCAUCACGGUUAUGUACGCACGUUUGUGUAUCUGAGGGUCUGGGCACUGGGGUUUGCUGUAUGCCUGUGCGUGCGCGCAUGUGUGUGUGCGCACCUGAGGGUCUGGGCACCGGGCUUUGCCGUGUGCCUGUGUGUGCUGGCGGGUGAGGGCAUGGGCGAGCAGAGCAGGGGGUGGUCGGCUGAGGCUGGGCUGCUGGGCACUCGACAUGCACACUGGCACUGGCCUCAGAAAGGCCCCAAGAAGUCGUGCGGGCGGACGUCUUCUCG